rnacentral:sRNA from 1 species
UUGUUGGCUUGGAUAAAAGGAAAAUUUUAAACAUGGGACCCUGACUUAAUGAAUAUUUGAAUGUUUUUCUUUUCCAAUUUUAAGUUUCAAGUGUCGUCAGAUGUAUCACGCACCCACAGACUGCGCCACAAUCCGGAAAUGGCUCACGAAGUGUGCAGACGACUCUGAAACAGCCAACUACAUUAGUGCUCACACUAAAGACUGUCCCAAGUGCAACAUCUGCAUUGAGAAGAAUGGAGGCUGCAAUCACAUGCAAUGCUCCAAAUGUAAACACGGUGAGUUCCAAGCUUGGUGUGUAAGGCCCAGUGGCACUUUCUUGUGGUUGGGUCUCCAUUACUAUUUAAGUGAGUACUUCUGCCAUGAAAUGACAAAACAUAGAAGAGCCUCAGUCACUUAACAGUCACAGU